AAGCAAAAAACAUACAUAUGCAAUUGAAUAGAACACCUUCACAAGGAAGAAUAUAGAGAGUAGAAAGUAUGGGCAAAAAGGUUUUGAAUUUCAUUUGGUUUUGCAUGUCAAAAAGAACGGAUUCACUGCCGACGCCC
ensembl:ncRNA H22K11.9 ncRNA